CGUGCUGAUUCUGAAUCCAGAAUGCUGAGGUAAAUGAAUGCUUAGUCUGAUGUAACAAAGCAGUUGUUUUGUUCUUAACUCAUGAUGGUUCACCAACAUGUAAAUCAUCACUUGUAUUCUUGAAUCAAAAUGCAGUGAAUAUACUGGAUAGUUUUCAACUAAAUGGAUGAAGUCUGAGCUGAAACACAGGGUGUUUGCAGAGCCAAUUUCAGCUGGUAUGAAGAUGCUAUCUGAGUUUUUGGGUCUAUUCCAAUGGGCUGCACAAAAGAAAGCCAAGGCAUCUGAAGUGUCACUCCACAGCUGUGGCAAAGGAGCGGUAUUUCCAUUUUGUUGAUGCUCCGAGCACAUGUGUGUAGCAGAAGGUGAUAUCAAAGGAGCCGUUUCCCCUCAGUUCUGCACAUUAUUUUUUCACUGCUGUGGCGAAUUUUUCUGAGCUCCAUGAACCAAUAAAACAAGAGCCCCUGUUUGAGUUGAUAUAUUAAUAUUUGCUGAGGAUUUGCAAGGUCGGGGCGAAAUGUCAGCAGAUUGCUGGGGCAGGACUGUGGGGAAUAAUUAAACAAAUCUCCCAGCA